GCUGAAACACCGGUUCCCAUACUAUCACAGAAGUUAAGCAACGUCAAGCCUGGUCAAUACCUAGAUGGGUGACCGCCUGAUAAUAUCAAGUGCAGUAA